rnacentral:rRNA from 1 species
GUGAGGAAUAUUGGUCAAUGGGCGAGAGCCUGAACCAGCCAAGUCGCGUGAAGGAAGAAGGAUCUAUGGUUCGUAAACUUCUUUUGCAGGGGAAUAAAGUGCGGGACGUGUCCUGUUUUGUAUGUACCCUGAGAAUAAGGAUCGGCUAACUCCGUGCCAGCAGCCGCGGUAAUACGGAGGAUCCGAGCGUUAUCCGGAUUUAUUGGGUUUAAAGGGUGCGUAGGUGGUUUGAUAAGUCAGCGGUGAAAGUUUGCAGCUUAACUGUAAAAAUGCCGUUGAAACUGUCGGACUUGAGUGUAAAUGAGGUAGGCGGAAUGCGUGGUGUAGCGGUGAAAUGCAUAGAUAUCACGCAGAACUCCGAUUGCGAAGACAGCUUACUAAGCUACAACUGACACUGAUGCACGAAAGCGUGGGUAUCAAACAGGAUUAGAAACCCGUGUAGUCC